CCUACGGGUGGCAGCAGUAGGGAAUAUUGCUCAAUGGGGGAAACCCUGAAGCAGCAACGCCGCGUGGAGGAUGAAGGUUUUCGGAUUGUAAACUCCUGUUGUUAGAGAAGAUAAUGACGGUAUCUAACGAAUAAGCACCGGCUAACGCCGUGCCAGCAGCCGCGGUAAUACGUAGGGUGCAAGCGUUACUAGGAAUCACUGGGCGGAAAGAGCGCGGAGGCGGGAUAGCAAGUCAGAUGUGAAAUCAUAGGGCUUAACCAUAGAACUGCAUUUGAAACUGUUAUUCUAGAGUAUGGGAGAGGUAGGUGGAAUUCUUGGUGUAGGGGUAAAAUCCGUAGAGAUCAAGAGGAAUACUCAUUGCGAAGGCGACCUGCUAGAACAUAACUGACGCUGAUGCGCGAAAGCGUGGGGAGCAAACAGGAUUAGAUACCCUGGUAGUC
rnacentral:rRNA from 1 species